UACGGAGGGUGCAAGCGUUGUCCGGAUUUAUUGGGUUUAAAGGGUGCGUAGGUGGCCAUUUAAGUCAGCUUUGAAAGCUGGUCGCUUAACGAUCAGGGGUGGGUUGAUACUGGAUGGCUUGGAUCAGGUGGCGGUUUCUGGAACGGGUCGUGUAGCGGUGAAAUGCAUAGAUAUGACCCAGAACUCCGAUUGCGAAGGCAGGAGGCUACGCCUGGAUUGACACUGAGGCACGAGAGCAUGGGGAGCAAACAGG
rnacentral:rRNA from 1 species